AUUCCCUAGUAACUGCGAGUGAAGCGGGAAAAGCUCAAAUUUGUAAUCCGUCCCCCGACGGAGUUGUAAUCUAGAGAAGUGUUUUCGGCCGUUGUCUCGGAUAAGUCCCCUGAAACAGGGCGUCAUAGAGGGUAACAAUCCCGUCCUUACCGAGGUCGCAAUGUCUAUGUGAUACACUCUCGAAGAGUCGAGUUGUUUGGGAAUGCAGCUCAAAAUGGGUGGUAAAUUCCAUCUAAAGCUAAAUAUUGGCGAGAGACCGAUAGCGAACAAGUACCGUGAGGGAAAGAUGAAAAGCACUUUGGAAAGAGAGUUAAACAGUACGUGAAAUUGCUAAAAGGGAAGCGCUUGAAGUCAGUCGCGUCGUCAGAGACUCAACCUCACGGUGUAUUUCUCUGGUGACGGGCCAACAUCGAUUUUGGGCGUGGGAAAAGGAUACGGGGAAUGUGGCAGCCUCGGCUGUGUUAUAGCCCUGCAUCGUACACCACGCCUGGGAUCGAGGACCGCGGCUCUGCCUAGGAUGUUGGCGUAAUGGCUUUAAGCGACCCGUCUUGAAACACGGACCAAGGAGUCUAACAUGUCUGCGAGUGUUUGGGUGUCAAACCCAUGCGCGCAAUGAAAGUAAACGUAGGUGGGAGGCCUCGGCCGCACCAUCGACCGAUCCGGAUCUUUAGUGAUGGAUUUGAGUAAGAGCAUAUAUGUUGGGACCCGAAAGAUGGUGAACUAUGCCUGAAUAGGGCGAAGCCAGAGGAAACUCUGGUGGAGGCUCGUAGCGAUUCUGACGUGCAAAUCGAUCGUCAAAUUUGGGUAUAGGGGCGAAAGACUAAUCGAACCAUCUAGUAGCUGGUCUUGCGAG
rnacentral:rRNA from 1 species